UAAUUUUGUCACUCAUUUUUGCUCUCAGACAUGUCAAGGGAAACUCGGGAUAUGCUGUUCAAUGGUACUUUGAAUUCAGCAACUAUAGCUCAUUGGACUUACUCCAUUGUCAAGAAACGGAGCAUCCAUUAUGUUCCAAGCUGUGUUUCAGUGAAGGAUGCUUCUCCACUGAGUAUUUCCCUUCUGGGAAUAAGACGGGCUGGUUGGCAGUGUACAGAGGCAGAGGGCCUUUUGUUCAUGAGGCCACUGUAGCUGCUUUGACUGACAGGGUGCAGAUUGGGAAGCCCCUCCUCCUGGAAGUCUCAGGUU
rnacentral:lncRNA from 1 species